UACGUAGGGCGCAAGCGUUAUCCGGAAUUAUUGGGCGUAAAGAGCUCGUAGGCGGUUUGUCGCGUCUGCCGUGAAAGUCCGGGGCUCAACUCCGGAUCUGCGGUGGGUACGGGCAGACUAGAGUGAUGUAGGGGAGACUGGAAUUCCUGGUGUAGCGGUGAAAUGCGCAGAUAUCAGGAGGAACACCGAGUGGCGAAGGCAGGUC
rnacentral:rRNA from 1 species